GAUGAACGCUAGCGGCAGGCUUAACACAUGCAAGUCGAGGGGUAUGCCGAUUUAUCGGCAGAGACCGGCGCACGGGUGCGUAACGCGUAUGCAAUCUACCUUUUACAGAGGGAUAGCCCAGAGAAAUUUGGAUUAAUACCUCAUAGUAUAGUGACUCGGCAUCGAGAUACUAUUAAAGUCACAACGGUAAAAGAUGAGCAUGCGUCCCAUUAGCUAGUUGGUAAGGUAACGGCUUACCAAGGCUACGAUGGGUAGGGGUCCUGAGAGGGAGAUCCCCCACACUGGUACUGAGACACGGACCAGACUCCUACGGGAGGCAGCAGUGAGGAAUAUUGGACAAUGGGCGCAAGCCUGAUCCAGCCAUGCCGCGUGCAGGAUGACGGUCCUAUGGAUUGUAAACUGCUUUUGUACGAGAAGAAACACCUCUACGUGUAGAGACUUGACGGUAUCGUAAGAAUAAGGAUCGGCUAACUCCGUGCCAGCCGCCGCGGUAAGAC
rnacentral:rRNA from 1 species